UUCACGUGCCGCCAUCGACCGCCGGUGUCCCGGCAACGAGCGAAAACAAGCCAAAACACGGCGACCACUGCCGCCGACCCGUCACUGCAGCUGGACCGGUCGGCGAGGUGCAGGGCCGACAGUGGCGUGGUCCGAACUGAGCCGUGAUGUGAGACAGGUCGACGACAGAAGAUUACUGCUCGGGAUUGGUGUCAGAUCAGAAGUGUAGGUAUGUAGCCAUGUCGAGGACCGUGGCUGACACGAGCACUUAAGGAGUUGGUCGCACGAAGCGACCAGCCGUGCCGUGAAGACCUGUGGAUCCCUUUCAUUGGUUGAAGACGUGUAGAAUAAUUGAAACAAGCAUAGCAAUACUGGGAUCCGCGAGCAAAACGAAGGAAUCAUCGUCUGUAAGCGACUUUCCACUCGACACCCACCUAAUUGCUGCCUGUCCCUUUUCCGUAAACCUGCUCAUCCUCGCCUCGAUCCGCUCACCCUUCGCAUUCCUCGCUCUCUGAGCCAAACAGGCUGUCGCAAUGUCAGACUGCGGUGACUGGAUCAUCACCUUUGAAAGCUUACCGAACGGCAGCGUCAAGGUUGUGCAGGAAGUGGUCGAAUGCCCUGACACUCACUACGCCGUGGCCGCGUUCCUUGCGCUGUUCAGUAUCGUCGCCAUCCUGCUCAACGUCUUGCUCAUCGUCACUGUCGCCGCCAGCUACACGCUCAAGAAGAAGGCCAUCAACCUGUUCGCCCUGUCGCUGGCGGUGGGUCACAUGUUGGAGUCGGUGGUGUCCGUGCCCCUAUCGGCGGCGUUCGCUGCCCGCCAGCGCUGGCCACUGGGUCUGUACGCGUGUCGCUCGGAUGCCGCCAUCAGCGAGGGCACGCUGCUGCUGACCAGCCUCAGCGUCCUCCUGUUCUGUCUGGACCGCGCCCUCAUGAUGAAGUACCUCCACAACUACCGCAAGUACAUGACGCCGACGAAGCGGACGCUGGCGAUCGUUGCCGCGUGGUUUGUGCCCGUGUUGCUGACGUCGCCGUUGCUGUGCGGCUACCUGGAGUCGUACCCGCACGAGGCGCGGCUGAGUUGCUGCACCGUGGACGCCGACAAGGACGUGGUGUACGGCGCGCUGAUGCUGACGUUUGGCCACCUUCUGCCGCUGUGCGCCAUGAUCACCUGCAUUGUACAGGUGGCGCGCAUCGUGCACCGCGAGCGGAAGCAGCUGAAAAAGCUGCAGCUGAAGCGGUCGUUCGCCUACACGGAGCAGGUGUUUGUGACGCCGCACCUGCGGACCGAGCAGGGCCCGACGCUGAUGGUGCUGGCCGUGCUGCUGCUGUACGUGCUGCUCGUCCUGCCGCAGGCCAUCAUCGUGCACUCGGACCAGAUCGCCAACACGUACAACAUGACCCAGAUCGAGGAACAGCAAGCAGAAGAGACGCGCGCGCGAAUGGAGAACGUCACUAUCGCCACAAACGAGACGAUCGAUGAGGUAAACGGGACGGUGGCGGCGCAGCAGCAUCUGCUUACCGUCCGCAGCGACGCGGUACACGAGCAGAUCUUCAUGUGGCUCCGCUACGGUUUUCUGAUCCUGUACCCGAUCGCUGCGCUGACCUUCCACAAAGACCUGCGCAAGAAGGCUGAGGGCCUGCUGUUCUGCUGCCGACCGAACACAGUGGAUGACUACUCCUCAGUGAGGCCCAUUUCCGCCUAUGUGAAGAAGUCCGACUCGGCUAAGAAGUCGGGUCGCAGUCGCUCACAGAAUCACGUGACAAGCUACAAGACACCGGUGCUCUUCUCCACCGCCAACGGAUUACACCUGCGCGUCAUGAACUCGUCGCACCGUUCCAACAUGCGCUUCCUCGGCCUUGACCUCAGUCUCAAGGGCAGUUUCGCACCCGACCCCGAGUUCGAGAUCUUCCUGAACGACCUGACGAUACCCAGUGAGGACCUGCCGGACACAGAUGGCAUCCAGGACCGGCCGCCGGAGCACGGGGACUUCCAGGACACCAUCGAGCUGGCCGCUGACGGCGGAGGCGGCGGCGGCGGCGGCUCGCCCAACAGUGCAGACUCGGGGGUUGACCUGGCGCCGGUGCGGCCGCGUAGCAACAAGCCCAAGAAGACGGUGCGUUUUGCGGUGCGCUCCAACGACUCCACGCGCCGCUCCAGCGACUCGGACGAGCAGUCGCUCCUGCCGGUGCAGUCCCCGGUCGCGCUGAAGCCGACUCGGUCCCGCGCCUCCACGCCCUCGCCAAGCGCGAAGAAGGUGCAACAGCGCUCCCGCCUGCGCCAGAAGCAGCCAGCGCCGCCGGUGGCGCCCGCCAAGCGCGGCGCUUCUCUGGAGAGGACGUUCAGCGUGGGCGAGGCACCGGCACGAAGGCGCUCUUUCCCGCCACCGGUGGGCCGUGGCGCUCCGCGUCCCACUAACAAGUACCGGGCGCCGUCCCGCCAGCUGUCGCAGCAGCCGCCGUCCCGUCAGCCGUCCCACCAGCCGGCCCGUCACGCGAACCGCGCCAGGGAGCGCCGCCGCUCGUCCACCGACAUCGAGCUGGAGACGUUCACCGCAGACGACUCGUUCGGCGUCGUCCGGUAACAGAAAGCCGAGCCGGGCGAUCGCCAACCCUCAAGACGACGUUAUUAGAAAUACUAUUUUCGUAUCAAGAAACAACGAGGACUAUUAACUUUCAAAGCGAAUAUGUUUUCCUAGCAUUUGCAAAAAGUGCCUGAAGAACAUGUUCAGCUAUCUGCAACGAGACACGAUAAAUGGCCACUCAGAAUAUGGACGAGCUGUUCCAGAGACGGUGACGGCUGUGCCAAGCUAAGACCAACUCGUGGACCAGCAUUCAUAGCAUUGUUGGCCUGUGUUGAGUGUCAAUGUGAGUGCCUCUUUUCUUAGCUGACGAUAUGGGCUUCGUCUGGCCUUUAUCGUUAUCAGCGUGUGUUAACGUGCUGACGGGAUUGUCGUUAUGAGUCCCGCUAAUUGUUCUAUCGCUGUGUAGAUUGCACUGUGUCCAUGUUGUAGAGAUCUCGAACCGAAUCUACUCAGGAUAAUCGUCGGAUGAUCGUCGAUCGGGUGUUACCACUCUGUUUCACUGUUUGAGGGACGGAUUGAUGUAAGAGUGUAAUUGUUACGAAGAGUGCACAUAACGUAAACGGCUGUUACUGUGCUGAUAGCAGAACUACACGGGUGGUACGAAAAGGUACGGCUCGACUGUUUAUCUUUAGUGUCGAUAUUCAUCUGUUUAGAUGCGUGUUGAUGGGGAGUGAGUAGUAGGUUCAGGCAUCAUGUUACUGUAUCAUACCGAUGUGUUUUGGGGGCCGGGUAGCCAGCAAACCAUCAGUUCGUUAUUUCAUUGGAUUUUUUUAGGGAUUCAGAUAUACCUAGUGUGUGAUUACAUAUAUCUACCUAUUGUUAAUUGAUGUAAUAUGUAGAAUAAAUAUUUACGAGCUUUUAUUUGCUGCCAUAGUCUUAAAAAAUAGGCUGAAGGCUUACUUCUAACUAUUAACAUAGGUAUGUUUAUUGUCAAUGAUUAUAUGCAACAACUUUUACAGUGCUGUUGUGACUUUAACAGCAGCUUUUACGGUGCAUUUAACAGCUAUUGGUGAAAAGUGAUUUUAUAUCAUAUUGAUUGACAGAUUUCACCUCUCGUGAGCUGCGAUCGAUCGACUCAUCAACUAUCAUUUAUCUAUUCAUGUUGUGUCGUUAUUUAUACGUAUCAUGCCGUGUAAUGAGAUACGUUUCUUCUUACUUUCGGUUUAUGAUUCACGACUGAAUCGGCAAUUUGUGUAUGAUUAUGUUACAACAACUGAACUCGUCAGAAUCGUCUACUAAAUAAAAAUGCAUCGGUGAAA